rnacentral:rRNA from 1 species
CCCGGUGAACAUAUUGAAAGGGCCACACCUGUUCCCAUACCGAACACAGUAGUUAAGCCUUUCAAGCCGAUGAUAGUGCCAAAAGCGCGAAAGUAGGUAUCGCCGGGU